AGCGAACGCUGGCGGCAGGCCUAACACAUGCAAGUCGAACGAACCUUUCGGGGUUUGUGGCGGACGGGGGAGUAACACGUGGGAACGUGCAUUUAGGGUCGGAAUAACUCAGGGAAACGUGUGCUAAUACCGAAUGUGCCCUUCGGGGGAACGAUUUAUCGCCUUUAGAGCGGCCCGCGUCUGAUUAGCUAGUUGGGUGAGGUAAUGGCUCACCAAGGCGACGUUCAGUAGCUGGUCUGAGAGGAUGAUCAGCCACAUUGGGACUGAGACACGGCCCAAACUCCUACGGGAGGCAGCAGUGGGGAAUCUUGCGCAAUGGGCGAAGGCCUGACGCAGCCAUGCCGCGUGAAUGAUGAUGGUCUUAGGAUAGUAAAAUUCUUUCACCGGGGACGAUAAUGACGGUACCCGGAGAAGAAGCCCCGGCUAACUUCGUG
rnacentral:rRNA from 1 species